rnacentral:rRNA from 1 species
GAUGAACGCUAGCGAUAGGCUUAACACAUGCAAGUCGAGGGGCAGCACGAAUUAGCAAUAGUUUGGUGGCGACCGGCGCACGGGUGCGUAACACGUAUACAACCUACCUUCAAUUGGGGGAUAACCUGGAGAAAUUCGGACUAAUAUCCCAUAGCAAACAGAAGAGGCAUCUUUUUUGUUUUAAAGAUUUAUUGAUUGGAGAUGGGUAUGCGUAGGAUUAGCUAGUUGGUAAGGUAACGGCUUACCAAGGCGACGAUCCUUAGGGGUUCUGAGAGGAAGGUCCCCCACACUGGUACUGAGACACGGACCAGACUCCUACGGGAGGCAGCAGUGAGGAAUAUUGGUCAAUGGUCGAGAGACUGAACCAGCCAAGUCGCGUGAAGGAAGACGGCUCUAUGAGUUGUAAACUUCUUUUGUACAGGAGUAAAGUGAGACACGCGUGUUUUAUUGCAAGU